rnacentral:rRNA from 1 species
AUGGAGGUUGCUGCUGGGGCCAUGGGCCCUGUCAUAUCUAAGCUCGGUGAGCUCCUUGUUGGAGAAUACAACCUGGAGAAGCGAGUAAAGAAAGGCGUCCAAUCGCUCCUUACAGAGCUGGAGAUGAUGCACGCUGUACUUCGCAAGGUUGGUGAGGUGCAGUCAGACCAGCUCGACGAGCCGGUCCGGAUUUGGGCUGGCAAGGUGAGAGACCUCUCUUGCGACAUGGAAGACGCUGUUGACGACUUCUUGGUGCGUGUGGAUGAGGGUUCAAGCAGCAAGCCAACGAACAUGAGGAAUCGAGUCAAGAAGUUUCUCAAGAAGACCACCAAAUUUUUUGUUAAGGGCAAAGCACUUCAUCAAAUAUGUGAUGCCAUUGAAGAAGCUCAGGAUCUUGCCAAGGAGUUGGCGGACCUACGUAAAAGGAGUCCCAAGGAGCAAUUGAAGACGAUCUCUAUUGUUGGUGUUGGUGGGCUAGAACCCAGAUAUCAAGAAAGUUUUCAAGGACUUACUCUAUGGCCUUGA